AUUUGGAGAGGAUGCUUUUGGCGCGGCGCCGUCCGAGUUCCUUGGAACAGGACGCCGGAGAGGGUGAGAGCCCCGUACGGACGGACGCCUAGCCUCUACAAAGCUCCUUCGACGAGUCGAGUAGUUUGGGAAUGCUGCUCUAAAUGGGAGGUAAAUUUCUUCUAAAGCUAAAUACCGGCCAGAGACCGAUAGCGCACAAGUAGAGUGAUCGAAAGAUGAAAAGCACUUUGAAAAGAGGGUUAAACAGUACGUGAAAUUGUUGAAAGGGAAGCGCCUGUGACCAGACUUGCGCCCCGCGGACCAACCGGCGCUCCGCGCCGGUGCACUCCGCGGGGGGCAGGCCAGCAUCGGUUCUCCCAGGGGGACAAAGGCCGCGGGAACGUAGCUCCCUCGGGAGUGUUACAGCCCGCGGCGGCAUGCCCCUGGGGGGACCGAGGACCGCGCUUCGGCAAGGAUGCUGGCGUAAUGGUCACCAGCGACCCGUCUUGAAACACGGAUCAAGGAGUCAAGCAUUGGGGCGAGUGUUUGGGUGUCAAACCCGCACGCGAAAUGAAAGUAAACGCAGGGGAGAGCUUCGGCGCACCCCCGACCGAUCCUGAUGUCUUCGGAUGGAUUUGAGUAAGAGCCUUACCGCUUGGACCCGAAAGAUGGUGAACUAUGCCUGUGUAGGGUGAAGCCAGAGGAAACUCUGGUGGAGG
rnacentral:rRNA from 1 species